rnacentral:pre_miRNA from 1 species
AAAAAGACAAACCCUAGAUUUCCGUAUCCAACUUUGAUUAUCCGUCUUAUAUAAAAUUUUUUAUAAUUCGUAUUUUUAUUUUUGUUAGAUGAUAAAACAUGAUUAAUAUUUUAUACGUAACUUGUCUUUUUAAUUUUUUUAAAUAAGACGGACGGUCAAACGUUGGGCAUGGAAACCAGGGUUUGUCUUUUU